rnacentral:rRNA from 1 species
UACGGGGGGGGGCAAGCGUUGUUCGGAAUUACUGGGCGUAAAGGGCUCGUAGGCGGCCAACUAAGUCAGACGUGAAAUCCCUCGGCUUAACCGGGGAACUGCGUCUGAUACUGGAUGGCUUGAGGUUGGGAGAGGGAUGCGGAAUUCCAGGUGUAGCGGUGAAAUGCGUAGAUAUCUGGAGGAACACCGGUGGCGAAGGCGGCAUCCUGGACCAAUUCUGACGCUGAGUGAGCGAAAGCCAGGG